rnacentral:rRNA from 1 species
UACAGAGGUGGCAAGCGUUGUUCGGAAUUACUGGGCGUAAAGGGCGCGUAGGCGGCCUUCUAAGUCGGACGUGAAAGCCCCAGGCUUAACCUGGGAACUGCGUCCGAUACUGGGAGGCUUGGAUUCGGGAGAGGGAUGUGGAAUUCCAGGUGUAGCGGUGAAAUGCGUAGAUAUCAAGAGGAACACCUGCGGCGAAGGCGGGUUGCUGGGCCGACACUGACGCUGAGGCGCGAAAGCUAGGGGAGCGAACGGG